UGGUGGGGGUGGGGGUGGGUGGGGGUGUGUGUGGCUAGAGGGAGACGGGUCCCGCUCAGCUGCACAGACGGGUUGAGUCCCCUGGAAUGGGGGCAGAACGAAGAGCGAGGUGCUGGGGACUGAAACACAGGGCCGCCCAGGGAAAGGAGGCUGAGGGACUAGAAAGGAAGGGACUCCGGACAGAGUGACGGACACAGCCAUGGAGAUUAGGGACAAGGAAAGGACACCGCCUCACUCAGCUGGGUGGGGGAGGGGAGACCAAAGCCAGCACGGCGGGGUGGGGGGUUGGGGGGUGGGGGGGUGGGAUGUGAACUGCUGAGCACAGGGACAGAGGACGGAGCGAGCGGGAAUGCGCUGGCGCUGGCACACCACUUCCAGAGGCACAUGGAAAGAAUUCGGGCCCCCGCCCCCCGGCCCGAGAAAGCCAAGGGCAGAAAUGAGAGCAUCGCCCCAGACCCAGCUGCAGACUCGUGACAGAGGAAAUGCACGUGCUGCUCCCUAGUUGGUGGGGUGGACCCAGGCCUAGGGAGGACCGUUCUGACGCGACAUAGGGAAGGGUUCUCCAGUGACUGGAACUUAAUGCAAUCGGCAAGGCCCCAUGGCCACUGGAGAUUGUCAAAAGCUGUCACUGAGCAUCUGAAAAGGUCGCCAGAGGCUAUUCAUGGGUCCCUCAUCAAAAGGAGGCGGACGUGGGCGACCCCGUGGUGCCUUCCACAGAGAGGACGGUCGGAAGCCUCACAAGCAACCCCCAGCCAGCCCCACCCCAUCUAGCCGGGGACAGCCCGGAACACCAGCAGAUCCUGGGUCACCUGCCAGCGGUGGAAAUGUCACGUGACGGUGGAAAGUGAUCAGUUUGCUUUCCCCCCCGACCUCCGCCCCCAGCAGCCCUGAGCCACAGGGGCCUCUCCAUGGCCCCGGCUCUGAGUCCGAGCCCCGGUCACGUACUGUUUGGGGAAACGGUAAACAGAGAUAAGAGCUCCAAGCACUGGAAUUUAUUUUUUAUCCACUCGGCCUAAAAGGCGCUGCGUGUUAAAUUUAGAAGGCCGGCUUCCAGACCCCUCCCCGCCCUCCUGUGUCCCGUGUCCUCUUUGCCGCCUCUCCCUGACCGUGGCAUGGGAAAUGCGUUUGGAAAGCUCGGGCGUCUUCCGAGGCUGCCUGCCUGGAUGUUUAUAGAAAUGUAUCAUCUGCGGGCCUGGGAGAGAGGGCCAUUUCCUCCACCCCCCGGCUCUGCUCACCGUCCCAGCAGCAGCCAUCUCUGCCCAAAUAUUUACCCAAACGUCCUCCAGGCAGGGCCGGUGCUUCGGCCUCUCGCUGUCGCUGUGGUGCCUGUCCCACGGGGAGCAUGUGGAGCAUGCACUGUAAAGACCUUCCAAGGCACUGACAUCGCGAGCCAAGGCUGGGGGCAGAGGGAAAAGAAGAUGCUGAAGAUCAAAGGGUAAGUGCCAAGAUGAAGGCGCUUAAAUGUUGCCAUGUCAAAGCAAUGAUAUAAUCAGAUUAGAUGAGCAAUGAUAUAAAUCUUGGGCAUUUUAGAAGAAUACAAAGUGAUAACAAAAUGGUUUAGAAGAUGUUUAGGUGAAAUAAAACAAAAACAGCGUGGCUCCCAGCAUGUGCGUUGUAACUUGGAGAUCAAGAAAGUAGACACUAGAAAGUGCAGUAGAAUGAAACCAGAAACACAGGCUUGAGAGCUCGGGGACUCGUUUUAUUCCUGGUUUAGCUACAAAUUAGUGAAAUGGACUUGGAGAGUCUCUUAACUGAUCCGACACAUUUCCUCAUUUGUGUAGUGGGUUUUAAAAAAAUCUCUUGGGGCACCUGGGUGGCUCAGUUGUUAAGUGUCCGCCUUGGGCUCAGGUCUU